GCACUGGCUGCUCUCCGUGUGUGUCUGAAGACCCAUUAAAUCUUGAGCUCUCUAUUCCCCUUCGUGGACAACUCUGGAGGCAUGUGCGAGAGACAGUGUAGCUGAAGAGUACAGGCCCAUGCACCAGACGUGUGGCCACAACUGAGCGACUAUGCGACCUGACUGUUAAACCAUGAAGAUACAACUGUAUUGCAUAAAAGCUUGAAAGGUCAAGAAAUGACAAUAUCAUUUCCACGUUGGAACUACAGCCAGAUCAUCGACUGCAACCGCUGGCUGUGUCUGGGCAUAAAAGUUCAGCAAAAUCAAGGAAAGCGUUGUGUGAGAAUCAGUUGCUCCAUGUGAAUUUCACAAGAAAAAGUAUUGUUAGUUACAAAAGCUCACAUAUUGUUAGAUGUCAUUUG